UUCUACUUUCGUCUUUUUCUAUCUUCCCACUCAUCUCCACUAUACCCCUCGUCUUCUAAUUCCUUCCAUUCGACCAAAGAAUUCUCUAUAAUAAUUCGCAAAUCUCGGCGGCAGCGCGCUCACCGCUAG
rnacentral:rRNA from 1 species